rnacentral:rRNA from 1 species
CCUGAGAAACCCAAAAGAUCGAAUGGAGAGAUUCAUCGUCAACUCAUUUGGUAUAUAUGCGUGUUAUGAUACGAGUUAUCCUUGUGAUAUUGCUUGUACGUACAUGUAUAUUUUAUUGCUGAAUGUUGUCGGCGUGCACUUCUCUUCUAGUAGGACGUCGCGACCCGUUGGGUGUCGAUCUAUGGCCCGGAUGGGAGUCUUUAAUUUUUUAAAUUGAAGACCACUGGUGACCUGAUCGGCUGCCCGGCGGUAUUCGCAUGGUAAUGAGUCGCAUUUAAUAUGCGUCAAGCCCGUCACAAGCGCGAUUAGUUAUCUGGUAGUGCGGACUCAAUGCCGUCGCUAGUGCUAAUCAGCUGUUGGUUGUACGGUGUUCUUUGACUGGCUCGAAUAUUAAUUACCGGUCGGCGACGCUACUGCUUUGGGUACUUUCAGGACCCGUCUUGAAACACGGACCAAGGAGUCUAACAUGUGCGCAAGUCAUUGGGAUUUUUUAAAUAAAUUAAACCUAAAGGCGCAAUGAAAGUAAAGGUUGUUCUUGUAAUAACUAAGGGAGGAUGAGUUGCAUUACGAUGACAGCUCCGCACUCCCGGGGCGUCUCAUUCUCAUUGCGAGAAGAGGCGCACCCAG